AUUGAACGCUGGCGGCAGGCCUAACACAUGCAAGUCGAGCGGAGCGGCGGAAGGGUGAGUAAUGCCUAGGAAUCAGCCUGGUAGUGGGGGAUACCGUACGGACACGGGCGCUAAUAACGCAUACUAGCAGAUGAGCCUAGGUUGGAUUAGCUAGUUGGUGGGGGAAAGGCCUACCAAGGCGAAGAUCCGUAACUGGUCUGAGAGGAUGAUCAGUCACACUGGAACUGAGACACGGUCCAGACUCCUACGGGAGGCAGCAGUGGUGAAUAUUGGACAAUGGGCGAAAGCCUGAUACAGCCAUGCCGCGUGUGUGAAGAAGGUCUUCGGAUUGUAAAGCACUUUAAGUUGGGAGGCGUUACCAACAGAAUAAGCACCGGCUAACUCCGUGCCAGCAGCCGCGGUAAUUC
rnacentral:rRNA from 1 species